ACUCCUACGGGAGGCAGCAGUGGGGAAUCUUGGACAAUGGGCGCAAGCCUGAUCCAGCCAUGCCGCGUGAGUGAUGAAGGCCCUAGGGUCGUAAAGCUCUUUCGCCAGGGAUGAUAAUGACAGUACCUGGNAAAGAAACCCCGGCUAANNCCNGG
rnacentral:rRNA from 1 species